rnacentral:lncRNA from 1 species
CAAAACCAGGCCUACUGAAUCUGUAGCAAUCUCAAGCAAGUGAUAUUCCCUUCUGACAGUUGUUUGCGGAGUGCUGGGUGUGCACCGCGGAGUCGGCAUCUCGUGACCCCCGAAGGAUAAAACAGUCUAUGAUCUUCCACAGGAGAGGAAAAACCCAGUCCUACCUUAUCUUCUCUUUGAAUUAGAAAGAAGAAAACCUCACCGCUUCAAGCAAGACGAGAAUUCAAACCCCACAUAAAAAGAAAAGGUUUUUGAAGAGUAGUAAGCAUUGUACCUGCAGUUUCGUAACCAAACCAAGGAGGAAUACUGCUGUUUUAAGAUACGUGGAGCUGUGACAGAUGAUCCUCCAUCUUUCUGCUGAAGUUAUUUUACUCCAGGGACAAAACUGUUCUGUGUUCUUUGCUUAGAUUUUCUUUCGCUGUCCACAUUGCUGCAUUCAUACUUGGAUCUGAAGGAAAGUUUGCAAGCCACACUGCCUUAGAAAAUUGAACUUUGACAUUACGUUACCGCAGUGCUUUGAUUGCUGGCAACAGUCCUUCCCGUGGAUACUGACACACCUACUGUGUUUGGCACAUCUGUCUUUUUCCCUUUGAGUACGUUGACAAGCAUUAGCCACCGAGAUGGAAGAAGUCUGGGUUGUGUACCUGUGCCUGAUCUUGUUUGUCAUCGUGGUUUAUCUAAUGAAGCACAACCGACACGUGGAGGAGGUCAAGAAAGAGAUGGAAAGCAAAAGCCCUCCGCCUUCCUCUUCCUUUUUUCCCAGUAACGUUGGCAAACAACUGGAGCACACCCAGGAGGAGCUGGAGCACUACCUGGAUAGGUUAACCCACGUCUUCUUUGACACAGAUGCCAGGAAAAGGGAGGGCCACCACGAUCAGAAGUCCCACCAUCACCAGCACAAAAGCGCCGAUGCCAUGUCUGAAGCUGUGGAGCACUCAGGAAAGGAAGCAGCUUACUCUCCACAUCUGGCAAGCCAUACAAGGGUUCAGGCCUGAAACAGCCAGCAAGCCUGAGACCGACAGCACUUAGAGCAGUUGCUGCUCCGGCUUCCAUGGUGUGUGGUGGCAGCUUGCAGAACUUAGCAGCAUUGCAGCCUUCCUGGAGGAGACCUGGAGUGAACCAAGGGGUUUGGUGGGGGGGGUGGGGUCAGAGCAUCUUUCUGGCAUACCUGGGUGAGGGGAGGAGGAACAUUCAACAUUGCAGUUCUACUUUAGGUAGGGCAAAGAGCUUUCCCUGUGCUGAGGCCAGGUCAGGUACAUUUGCUGUUUCUUGAGAAAUAAACACUCCAUCUCGUUUGUAAAGCUGCA